GAAAGGUGAGGAAAUAUGGUAUGGCGAGAUGAAAGUGGCCAUGUUCUGGAGAUUUGAAAAGUGCAUCCCUUCCUUAUCAAGAAAUAUGGUGGACAAGCUUGGUGUUGGGCUCAGUGUACCCAUAUGCCUUGAUAAGGACUCACUGCACUCAGAAUGUGAGAGGAAAAGAGCCAAGUACCCAACAAAAUACUGAGUCUACUUAAUGAUUGUUCUGUUUCCUAAUACUUCUAGGAUGUAUUUUUAUCGGCAGGGAGACAGAGAAGCAAUUAUUUACACACUGACAGGUGAUUUAAAUUCUGAGAGCUGAUUCCAAAAUGACUGCCUCGUUCCCCUUAGACACCAUUCAUUUAUGACAUCACCUUCAGGAGAACAGACAUGCUGGUGUCUCGAUGACCCACUGUCACCUGUUUGGAAAUGUUCCUUACUUCAGUUUUUCUCAGCCAGUCAAUCCAGAAGGGUUUGAGAUCUUUACCAUCUCAGUGCCCUGCCUCUCAGUGUGCUCCUCUAUCAACUGUCACAUGGUCAUAAAUGUUGUGGGCUGGGUGAGCCUGGUGCUUAUAAAAUCUCAUUUUAUGACAAAGAAAUUGUCCCUCAGCAUGCUGGGGGUCACCAUUUGGCCAGCUUGGGGCUCUCAUGCUGGAUCCCUGAGCAUGGCCAAGUGAGAAUCACCCUGCUUGCUUCCAUCCAGGGUCAGGGAGCAGUACUAUUGUUGUCAAGACCUGCUGAUGUGCCAAAAAGAUCAAGAGAGCCAGUCUUCUGAGCAACUGCCAGUCCACAAAACGGGGUAGCUCACUUCAAAGACCAAAGUUCAAACAGAACGCGUACAUGUACACUUUCUUGGCAUAUUGUCUUUGCUUAAGAUAAUAACCCAUAUUUAUUUGCAAAACAGUCCUCCCAGACUAUUUUUUUCCCUUUUGCCAAAAUGGACUGGAGAGAGAGCAUUUGGUUUUUAUUCUCUUCUCUUGGGAUAUGAAAAGACCUAACCAAGACUAAGACCUCGUUAUGAGAUACUAGCUUACUCGAAACCUUAAAAUUCAAAGUAUUGCCCAAGUGAAAUUUCUGGAUUCUGGAGACACUAAAAAUGUAAAUGUCAGCAUCUUCACCAAGUAUUUACCCAAAGCUUGGGAGUAGGGCACCGGGUAGCUUAGCUACACACUGUUGAGUGAGGUCUCACAGAGAGAAGAGGGACAAAUCAAGCAGCCUCAAACACCCGAGAGCAGGGUGAGACCCACCAUUAGACACCACGCAAAGGCAAAAGAGCAGCAACUAGCACCAUCAGUGGGACUGCUGUCAGUAUUCAAAUGACCUACUAAUUUUAAACAAUCUAAUUAAGCAGAACUGCAAGUCCAAUAAACUGUAUCAGUGAAACACAUGGGAGUUGAGAACUUUGUUUUCAAAGAUCGAAGAGAAGAUGAACUAAGUAUUUCUGAUGGAUGGGUUUGCAUGGCUCUCACUGGUUGUCAGGACUAACUGUUGGCUAGAAACCAAGAAGGAUCCGAUUCCACACACCUUAAGAAAGGAUUUUAGAGACAUUGAUCACCCAAACAAUGGUUUAAUUUCUGCUGUUGAUGAAGUCACACAUAGGCCCAAGAUGAACUUUUAAUUUCAUGGAGUGUUAGGCACACAGCAAUCGUGUUUGGUCAAAAUCAGGUUGGAAAGUCAUUUGUCUACCAGGCCUAUGUUCCUACCUUCAGAAGCCCUGGAGAAAAUAAGAUUUGUUUGUUUAGGACUGGAAUGGAGGAAGUUCCUACUAAAUCCAAUUUCUCCUUAGAUUGAGACUAUCUUCUACCAAAACUGGUUCUACUUGCUAACAACAUGCAUCUCAGAGUUUGCUGUCCAAGAGUUUAAUUUUGGGCAUUUCAGAGAGGAGGGUCAGCUCAAAGUGGGCAAUGACAAGAACAUACUCCCCAGCAUCUUUCCUGGACAAACGAGGUUGGAGGAGGGAGCAAAUGCACCUUUGUAGGCAAGAGGAGAGGGAGAAGCAAGAAGGGCGUUUGGCUGAGCCCAGCGCCAGUCCUAGCAGUGUAAAAUACUUGGCACACUGGUCACUUAGUUUGAGGUACAUGAGCAAUGCAGGAACUGGUUCUCAAUGUGGGUCAAAGAGGAGGUAGCUGACGUAAGAAGCUGUGACUCCAGUCAUAUGCAUAGCACUGGAUGAACCCCGAUGAUUUGACUCAACGUAAUGCCAUUGUAGUCUCUGGUUCACAAUUCUGCAGAGUAAAGCACUUUUUCAAAGGCCCCUAUUGGCAGCCAUGGGAUUGCAAGCUGUUUUUGAACUCUACAAAUGUUUCCAAAGAUAUAAUUGAAAUGUUUUCUAUUCAUUAAAAAAUAUAUUAAAGCUACCCAUAGAGACCUCUAAGUGUAAUUAAAAGAUUGUUAUGCUUUAAAAUGUACUCUAAUAAAUCAUAUAUAAUUCUUGGGAUGG
rnacentral:lncRNA from 1 species